rnacentral:lncRNA from 1 species
UCGCAGGCGCGCUUUGGCAGCCCGGGUCAGAGACAGCUGCUGCCUAGAUUGCAGACGCGCUCCAGCAACCCAGAUCGGAGAUGGCUGCUGCCCAGACUGCAAACGCGCUCCGGCAGUUCAGAUGGCAAGCGCACACCGGAAGCCCGGGUCAGAGUUAGCUGCUUGGAUCCCGAUCACGCUCGGGCAGCCCAGAUCAGAGACAGCUGCUGCCCAAACCGCAAACACGCUCGGGGCAGUUCAGAUCGCAGGCGCGCGCCGGAAGCCCGGGUCAGAGUUAGCUGCUCGGGUCGCGAUCCUGCUCGGGCAGCCCAGAUCAGAGACAGCUGCUGCCCAAACCGCAAACACGCUGGGGGCAGUUCAGAUCGUAGGCGCGCACCGGAAGCCCGGAUCAGAGUUAGCUGCUUGGAUCGCGAUUGCGCUCGGGCAGCCCAGAUCAGAGACAGCUGCUGCCCAAACCGCAAACGCGCUCGGGGCAGUUCAGAUCGCAGGUGCGCACCGGAAGCCUGGGUCAGAGUUAGCUGCUCGGGUCGCGAUCGUGCUCGGGCAGCCCAGAUCAGAGACAGCUGCUGUCCAAACCGCAAACGCUCUGGGGGCAGUUCAGAUCGCAGGCGCGCACCGGAAGCCCGGGUCAGAGUUAGCUGCUCGGGUCGCGAUCGUGCUCGGGCAGCCCAGAUCAGAGACAGCUGCUGCCCAAACCGCAAACGCGCUCGGGGCAGUUCAGAUCGCAAUUUAGAUCAGACGAGAGCCAGGGGACGUCUCCCACCGGUCUCCGCUGGCCGUCCUAUAGCGCGUCCGCCAGGACUGUGCCAGCUCCAGUUUCAGACCUUGCGAGUCACAGAUUCAGAUUCAGAACAGACACAGACAGACAAACGGAGACGAGCCAGCUCACCUAUCAGUAGAUCGAUCCUAGCAGAUCCGUUGACCAGGGGUCUGGUGGGCUUGGGGAAUCCCGGACGAGCCCCCAGAUGUUAUACCCUGACCGUUUGUUCCCCAAAGAAGACCACCAGAGUCCAGAGUCAAAGCCAAGCGGCAAGGAUCUUUACUACAAGUUCGAACCUGGUCCCUCCAUUCCACAACAUACAAGAGGGCCCCGAACAAUGCGAGCGCUUGCUUUUUCAUAGCCCGAAAGUUACAGGGGAACAAAGGAAUUCUUUUGGUUCCCGCGCUUUCAAUAAAACUUUGAGCGGCACAAUGCCGCUAUCCGGAGACUUUCCAGGUAAUGUUUGUACUGGGCUCUGGAAGUUUGAAGGUGAUAUGGUGGGGAUGGGAGAGAUGGGAUGUGUUGUACUGGGCUCAAAGUUUGAGAAGAUAUAUGGCGAUAUGUGGUGGGAUGGGAGGAUGGGAUGUGUUUGUACUGGGCUCAGGAAGUUUGAGAGAUAUAUGGCGAUAUGUGGUGGGAUGGGAGGAUGGGAUGUGUUUGUACUGGGCUCAGGAAGUUUGAGAGAUAUAUGGCGAUAUGUGGUGGGAUGGGAGGAUGGGAUGUGUUUGUACUGGGCUUGUCUGUUUUGA